rnacentral:lncRNA from 1 species
UAGGGCUCCAUAAGGCACUGCCACAUGGAUCUCUUCAUUUAAGCCUCACAACUUUUGUAAGCCAAGUAUUGCUCUUAUGAUCUUGUUGCAGAUAUCUAGUGCUAUGUAACAAACCACCCCAAAACUUAGUGACUUAAAACAACAACAUUUCUUGGGUCACAAAUCUGCCAUUUGGGCAGGCUCCGUGGGGAAGCCCUUCCUCUCUGCCCCGUUCGUCAUCACUAGGGCAGCCGGAAGACUAUGGGUCAGAAUAUCUGAAGGCUCUCACUCUCACGUCUGGCCAUUGAUGCUAGCUUUUGACUGAGACCUCAGGUGGCACUCUCGAUCAGAACCUGCACAUGCCCUCUCCAUGUGGCCUAGGCUUCCUCACAGCACUGUGGCUGAGUUCCAACAUGAGAAAGAGAGAGAGAGAUUGAGAACCAACCAGCAGAAGCCAGAUGCCUUUUAUGACCUAGCCCAGGAAGUUACACUGCGUCAUCUGUGACAUAUUCUAUUUGUUGAAGCAGCCACAGGGACCUGCCCAAGUUCAAUUGGAGGGGACGUAGACUCCGCCUUGUAAUGGAAAGUUGUAAUGUUCUGGAAGAGCAUGUGGCACUGGAAAUACUGCUGUGGCCUUUUUUGGAAAAUAUACAGAGCCCCAAUUUACAGAAGAGAACAUUGAGGUGCUCUCCCCACACCCUGCCCAGAGGUUAUCUCAGGCCUGAAGCUCGCAUUGACAUCCCACACUUCGUGCACUGAGCCAGGCAGCAUCCAGCACACAUGAGGGCAGCCUGGUUAUGACAGCAACACGUCAUAUGCCCACAGCCAGACACAGCUGGAAUCACAGCCUCCCGUCCACCGCUACACAGCUGGGCGACCUUGGGCCUCACGCAGACAAACGUGCUCAUCAAGAGGGAGGAGCUGGGCCAGGGCCCGUGAGGAUUUCUCUAAAAUCCUUUUCUGUGGCUCUGACUUCUGAGCCCCCAAGUUCCUCUUCUCCGAGCCAGAACCAGGAUUUGCAUCAGGGGACCACAGCGCCUGACUUUCCUGGAGGCUCUGAUGCUCUUCUUAUCCUUGUCCCUCAUGGGUUUCUGUACCUGAGGGGUCCUCGGAAGGUCUUAAGCCACCUCCCAGAGUUCCUGGAUUAAAAAUGGAUACUUUCUCCAGAACUUUAGGAAUGAAAGUGAAAAAUAAAGAGCUUGAAACCUUGUCUGUGACUUUAUUUUGAGAUUACUAACAUCCCAAAACAACAAUCCCCCUCCCCAUUCUCCUCUUCUGCCAGCUCCAGCGUCCUCCAACUCAGGCCUGCCUGGGCCGGAUUAGGGAAGGGAGGGGUUACGGUCCAUGGAAGAGUCAUACCCUGAACUUUAUGGGGUUUGCAGCAGCCAGGUGCAGAGGUGGGUCCUGUCCUUUCUCCACAAGAGCCAGAAAAACUAAAUGCAGGCUCCGUGGGGCAAGUAGGAAGGCAAGGGGAUGGGAAGACAAAUAGUAGAGAGAAGAUAAAAG